rnacentral:lncRNA from 10 species
AGAGAGAGAAGGUGUGCUUGCCACUCCUGGAUGACACAGAAGUUCGCCGGAUUGCCUGGGUCAAAGCUGGUCCACAAGUGCUGGGCAAGCAGAGAGUGUUAACAGGCUUGCAGAGGACACGUGGUGUUGCUGUGGGUUGGAGGCCUGGAGCUGCUGGCAUAGUGUCGAGGGAGCUGCAGGGAAGUGAUCAGCAGGCGAGGCCCUACUAAGAAAGCUCAACGUCAUGCCCACUGUCCCCAGGCAGAGCUGAAGUAAGGCUGUCAUCCAAGGCCCUACUUAAGAAGCAGAUCACAAGGUACACGACUGUGGACAAAACAACUGUGAAAACCUACAGGACAUGCAGCAGUCAAAUGGAAAAGAUAUGUCCCCAGCAACCAGAGGGCAGAACAAGCGCACCCAGGGAUUCCAACAACUUGGUUUCCCCAACGCCAUGAGGUUGCCACAUAAGCAACCACUCAUCCCUAUAGAGAAGCAGAAGAGGAAGAGAGAAGCUACCUGAAAGAAUAUGACCUUUAGAAGGAGAGAUUAAACACUUCCUAAAUAAACUAAUUCAGAUAUUGGAUCAAACUGAGUUUUUAACCCACUUUGAUGCUGAAAUAAUUGGGUUUCACUGUGAGUGGGAGUACAGAAGAAAGCCAGAUGUGAUGUAGGCCAAUUAAAGACAUUACAUUUUUUUUGACAUAUCCCAGGUCAAAAUUAGACUUUCUAGGUGUUUUUUAAUCUAGGUAGUAUAAUCUAGAAUUAUACUUACCUAGGUGAUUGGUGAAUGUGGGAAGCUAGGAGGUGAUGUGACUUCUGUCUUUUGUAGUCUCUACGAUAAAAUAGUUUGGGGAUUUUAAUUUCAUUUGGCUUUCUCAUGGGUAGUUUCCACUCUUGUCUUUUCCUUUUCUUCUUUUUUUCAUUCUGAGCUCUCAGACUCUUCACAGAUAUUCCUAAUUCUCUACAACUGUAGGAGUAUAGAGAUGACAUUUUGCAUCGCAGGAUGUCUUAUACUAUUAAAAUGUCUCUUAUUUCCAAGCAAAGUAGAUUCAGAAAUUCCCAGUGUUUCAACUGUUUCAAGGAGUGGGGACAUGUGUUAUUCUGACUGAAUUUUGAUUCAACAAAUCUUUAAGGACCUAUGUGUUAGCCACUGGGCCGAAUACUUCCCAGAUGGUCUCAUCUCAAUAUAACAGCCCCGUGACGACCUUAUUAGCCACCUGAAUUUCAGAUAAAGAACUUGAGAGGUGAAUGGACAUGUUCCAGGCCACUCGGUCAGUGUGUUGCAAAGCUGGACACCUCACAAGUCCAGACCGCUUCCUACCCUCCAAACAAUCUCCUUUGGACAAUUCAGAGAAGGCUUUGCCUGUGUUCCCUUCUGUUUCCAUUUCAGAACUCUCAAGAGUACAGACUUGACAAGAGAAGUGGCUCCUCAGGAUGGGAGCCAGUAGCUAUUCUCAGCACUGUCCUGUUGGCCAGAUUGACUUGGCAAGACUGUCCCUUCACCCCUGCCUUCCUGUGCUGGGUCAAGAGUGAAGGACACUGCCUUUGGGAUGCUCUUUUAAGAUCCUCAAUAAACCUG